AACCUCAUCAACCGGAAGGGUAUUCCUUCCGGUUGAUGAGGUUGUUACACCUCAUCAACCGGAAGGAAUCCCUUCCGGUCGAUGGUGUU
rnacentral:miRNA from 1 species